UACAACCUCUCUUUAUGAAAUUUCUCGGUUCUCGACAAUUCAAACGAUCAUAUUUUAAUUCAUAAUUUCACACCAGCUGUUUACAACUAAGUUAUACGGAGUCUCUACCAUCGUGUCCAACCCACUGGUUUCUUAACACAACAACCAAACAUUGUAUACUUGAUCAUACAUCUUAACAAUUAAGAUGGAGUGAACAACAAAAAGCUUACGAGAUAUGGCAGAGUUUACUGUGAACUUUGCUAUUGAAACAUUGGGUUCCUUGCUUGUCCAGGAAACCAAGCUGUUGAGAAGUGUAAAGAAAGAAGUUGAAAGCAUCAAAAGAGAAUUGGAGUUCAUCAGAUCUUUUCUCACGGAUGCAGAUACAAGGGCAGCGGCUGAAGAAGAAGGAGGAAGCGAUGGAGGUGUCGUAAGUACUUGGGUAAAACAAGUAAGGGAAGAAGCUUAUCACAUUGAAGACGUCAUAGAUGAGCACAUACUUAAUGAGGCGAAGCAUCAUGAACAUGAUGGCAAAGGUCUCACUGGUUUCCUUCGUAAAAUGUGUUGUUUCAUCAAUGAACUUAAGGUGCGUCAUGGAAUUUCAUCCGAGAUUAAACAUAUCAAAUCAUCACUUGCUGAUAUACGAAGAAGUGCAGAACACUAUAAAUUCAAGCCCAUUGAUCAAGGAGACGUUGUAUCGCACGAUUCUCGAGUUGGUUCCUUUUUCAUCCCAGGCGCUGAACUUGUGGGCAUCGAAUCUACUAGAGACCAAUUGAUUGGUCUGUUGGUGAGUGGAACAUCCAAGCGUUCAGUGAUUGCAGUUGUGGGCGAAGGAGGACUUGGCAAGACCACUCUUGCCGGGAAUAUUUAUAAGAAUGAUGUAGUGAAGAAGCAUUUCGAUUGCCAGGCUUGGAUCACGGUUGGGAAAGAAUGCACCAAAAUGGAUAUACUAAGAAAAACUAUACAAGAAUUUGAGGGUGUGAUAGGGUCUACUCAUGGAGAAAUGGACAAAAUGGGAGAGAAGGAUCUGCUCGCCAUGCUGGAGAGACAAUUAAAAGACAAGUGUUACAUGGUUGUGUUCGAUGACGUGUGGCAAACUGAUUUUUGGGGAUAUAUAGAGUAUGCUUUAAUUGAGAACAACAAAAGCAGUAGGAUUAUGCUCACAACCAGAAACACGGGCACUGUUGCUCUGAUUCCUUUUGUUAAAGUCCAUCCGCUAGAACCUUUGCCUUCAGAUUUGGCGUUUGAACUUUUUUGUAGAAAGGCUUUUGGUCCUCAGGUGUGUUGUCCCCUCGAGUUGGAGAAACUAUCUUAUGACAUCCUUCGGAAAUGUGGAGGUUUACCACUAGCAAUUGUUGCCGUUGGUAGUCUUCUCUCAAACAAGAAUAAGGUUGCUUUUGAAUGGAAAAAGUUACUUGAUGACUUGGGAUCACAUUUGGGAAGCGAUUACAACAAAGUUUUAUUAGAAAGUUAUUAUGCUUUACCUCACCAUCUCAAAUCUUGUCUCUUGUAUUUUGGUUUUUUUCCAGCAAGCUACUCAAUCAAUUGUGCAAGACUGAUUCGCCUAUGGAUUGCUGAAGGCUUUGUCCCUUAUUCCAAACUCCGCACAUCUGAACAAGUUGCAGAAGAAUUCUUGAUUGAUCUCAUUAACAGAAGCUUGGUUCAAGUGGUAGAGAUGGAUUUCAUUGGAAGACCUAGAUAUUGUGGAGUCCAUGAUCUGAUGCAUGAGAUUAUCCUUAAGACCGAAUCUUUGGGCUUCUCUCAUUUUGUGAACAGAGAACACUCAAAUCUCUCUAGCAAAAUUCGGCGCAUUUCAAUACAAGGAAGUACUAAUGAUGUUCUCGAGAGCAUCAAGGACUCAAAGAUACGUUCUGUUUCUCUUUUCAAUGUUGAUAGGAUGCCUAACUCUUUCUUGACUACGCUUUUUAUGGAUUUCAAACUUGUAAAAGUACUUGAUUUUGAAGAUAGUCCUAUAGAGUAUCUUCCAGAAGGAGUGGGAAACCUCUUCCACUUGCACUACUUAAGUGUGAAAAAUACAAAAGUAAAUGUACUCCCCAAGUCCAUUGGUAAGCUUCUCAACCUGGAGACUUUGAAUUUGAAGCGUUCUCUUGUCACUGAGCUUCCUGUUGAGAUCAAGAAUCUUAAAAAAUUGUGCUAUCUAGCGGCAUACAAUUUGGGCAAGUAUAGUAAUUAUGGAAGAGCAGUGAAAAUACCUGAGGGGUUUAGUUCUUUAAUGGAGCUGCAGAAGCUAAUUUUGGUGGAAGUUAACUUUAAGGAACUCAAAGAGCUUACGAAGCUAAGGCAUCUGAGAAAGUUAGGAAUUAGGAUCACAAAUGGAAACGGCAAGGAUUUAUGUGCUUACAUAGGGAAUUUGGAUAAACUUGUAUCUCUGACUAUCGAGUUGACAAGUAGAGAAGAAAUUCUUGAUAUAGAAUCAAUGACUUCUCCUCCUCGUGGUCUUGAGCGCCUCUACUUAACAGGAAAUAUGAAGAAGCUACCAGAUUGGAUUUUUAAACUUGAAUAUAUUGUCAGAAUUGGUUUGGAUUUGUCAGGAUUAACUGAUGAUCCCAUAAAAGUCCUUCAAGACCUGCCUAAUUUAUUGGAGAUUAGGCUAUGGGAGACAUGCCAUGGUGAGCAAUUACAUUUCAAAGAAGGUUGGUUUCCAAAACUAAAAAUGUUGAACCUCUUUGACUUUAAAGGAGUGGAAUUGAUGAUAAUAGACAAAGGUGCAAUGCCUAACCUUGAAGAGUUACUUAUUGGACCAUGCCCUCGAUUGAAAGAGAUUCCAAUUGGAAUUGAACAUCUGAGAAACCUAAGGAUUCUUAAGUUUCGUCGUAUGUUGAAAGAAAUUUGUUAUAUGAUAAAAGAUGAGAAGUGGAAGAAAGUUACCCGACAUAUACCGGAGGUCUGUGUCACUUACGAAGAGGAAGGAGAAGUAUUUUAUGUCACUACUAAGUAUCUCUUGUCUCUCUCGCCUGUGAAUUUUGAGUAAUUUAUUGAAAAACGGGUGUGAAGUAACAAUUCCUCUCAUCCGUGACAGCAGAAGAUGUAUCUUGGAUUGUGAGAAGAUCAUGAUUAAAUCGUCCUCCACAUGAAUAAACCAGGUAAUUCCAAGAUUUUAUGUACUUGUUUCUUGUGAAUGGUGUAGUAUUGGUGGCAGUAUCCAGCAAUGUGUGAUUGUUGUAUUAUUAGGGUAACACUAGUAGAGAUGAAGUAUUAGUUGCAAUUGUUCAUCAAUUUCCUUGUGUAAUAUAUAAAAUACAUUUGAUUUGCUCAUGUUAAUG